rnacentral:rRNA from 1 species
UGAGUACGAGACGCUAAGGCGUUGAAGUAGUGGAUGUCAUACUUCCAAGAAAAGCUUGCACUGUCAUAAAUAAAGAAUGCCUGUACCAUAACCGACACAGGUGGGUAGGUAGAGUAUACUAAGGGGCGCGAGAUAACUCUCUCUAAGGAACUCGGCAAAAUGACUCCGUAACUUCGGGAGAAGGAGUGCCUUAUUCGUAAGGCUGCAAUAACAAGAUCCAAGCAACUGUUUAUCAAAAACACAGGUCUCCGCUAAGUCGUAAGACGAUGUAUGGGGGCUGACGCCUGCCCAGUGCCAGAAGGUUAAAGAAGUCGGUUAGCAUUAGCGAAGCUGGUAACUGAAGCCCUGGUGAACGGCGGCCGUAACAAUAACGGUCCUAAGGUAGCGAAAUUCCUUGUCGGGUAAGUUCCGACCCGCACGAAAGGCGUAAUGAUUUGGAUACUGUCUCGGAGAGGGGCUCGGUGAAAUAGACUUGUCUGUGAAGAUGCGGACUACCUGCACCAGGACAGAAAGACCCUAUGAAGCUUUACUGUAACUUGAAAUUGAAAUUGGACUUUAUUCGCGCAGUAUAGGUGGGAGGCGUUGAUUAUAAUCUUGCGGGAUUAUUGGAGCCAUCAGUGAGAUACCACUCUUGUAAUGUUAGAUUUCUAACUUUGAAUCAUUAUCUGGUCAAAGAACAGUUUCAGGCGGGCAGUUUGACUGGGGCGGUCGCCUCCUAAACGGUAACGGAGGCGUACAAAGGUUUCCUCUGAACGGGUAGAAAUCGUAUCUAGAGUGUAAAGGCAUAAGGAAGCUUGACUGUGAGACCUACAAGUCGAGCAGGGACGAAAGUCGGUCUUAGUGAUCUGACGGUACUGAGUGGAAAGGCCGUCACUCAACGGAUAAAAGUUACUCUAAGGAUAACAGGCUGAUCUCCCCCAAGAGUUCACAUCGACGGGGAGGUUUGGCACCUUGAUGUCGGCUCAUCGCAUCCUGGGGCGGUAGUACGUCCCAAGGGUUGGGCUGUUCGCCCAUGAAAGCGGUACGCGAGCUGGGUUCAGAACGUCGUGAGACAGUUCGGUCCAUAUCCGGUGUAGGCGUUAGAAUAUUGAGAGGAGCCUUCUUUAGUACGAGAGGACCGAGAAGGACAUACCUCUGGUGUACCAGUUAUCGUGCCAACGGUAAACGCUGGGUAGCUAUGUAUGGAGUGGAUAACCGCUGAAAGCAUCUAAGUGGGAAGCCCACCUCAAGAUAAGUAUUCUC